rnacentral:lncRNA from 1 species
CUACUUAGCUAGCUUGCUCAUUGCUAGUUAAAAUAUCAAAAACAAAAAUCUGCUUUUUAAAUUCAAAUCCUUUCAAAAAUUUCAGUGUCCUGGGAGAAAGUUCAGAUUUUUUUUAGUAUUUUUAAAAUUAAAAUAAAUACUAAGAAAAAAAUUCUAAGACAGCAGUUCUCUUCUUUUAUCCAAUAAAAUGAUUGCAUAACUUUAUUCCCUGUAUGUCUCAAAAUCUCUUAUAAAGGUCAAUAUUUGCUGGGUAGACAAACUUGGAAUUGCAGAACUUAGAUAUGUGAUUCGCUGGCUGAAGGAUUAUGGAGCAAGGUUUUUAAACAUUUUCUAAAACUUGAUAACCUCAUCAGUUAUAUAAGAGUGUUGCAGUCAACAGGCCCCUCUCAUUCUAAUACUCUCAAAAUAAAUCUGCUUAAUUCCCAAAUACCUUUUUAUCACUGUUCCUCUCUUUUAUUUAGCAUCAGGACAGUGACCGUCACACACCAUCAAGUCCUGGCUUCCAUUUUCCUGAUGCAAGCUCAGCUUCCCGAGAUUAUCCAAAGUAGGAUGAAUCCUUGCUUUCAAUGCCCACUUUAGAGUGCCUGUCAUAUGAAGUAAUUAUGAGCACAGCAUGAAGUCUACAUGAGGUAUGUACAGUGGAUCUCUACGUACAUUGUUCCUACUUUACUCAUGAGAAGAGGUGUCACUGUUUGAAGAUAAAUAGGUUGACUGUAAAUUCACCAUUUUUAAAAGAUAAAUAGGUUGACUAUAAAUCCACAUAUUUCUUUGUUCUUCCUAGAAUCUUCUACAUGGGAUGAAAUUGAGGUGAUCAUUAAAGGUAAUUAGGAAAUAAUUGAACGAAGGCUCUUAGACUUUCCAUAAUACUUCUAGGUUAUCCAGGGUUCCUGCAAUAUAAAGUGAUAUAUAUGUAAAAGUGAUAUAUUUAAAUAUUGUACUUGACUUUACAUGUUUAAUUUAUUAUUAUUCCUAAAAGUAAUACUUACCGUAGACUCAGUAGAGAGGCCAGAAUUAUAUAUUUAAAGUCUUGAGUUGUUCUAACUCCAAGGGGAGUAAAUGGUCUUUUUGAAUUUUAUAGGAACAGCAGAGAGUCUUCCAUAUAAUAUAAGAGGGAAAAUCAAGCUCAUCCAAGCAUACUUUAUGUGUAUGUUCUUUGGUUUAAAAGGAGUAAAGUAUUGCUCUAAUCAAAUACAUUGAAUGAAGAGAGAGAGACAGAGAGAGAGAGAGAGAGAAGGAGGGGGAGGGG